UCAUGCAUCGGUAUGUGAGGA
rnacentral:siRNA from 1 species